rnacentral:rRNA from 1 species
GCGGAGGGAUCAUUAAAGAGUUCUAUAACUCCCAAACCCAUGUGAACAUACCUAACGUUGCCUCGGCAGGUCGCACCUACCUUGUAGCACCCUACCCUGUAGGGCCUACCCGGGAGGUGCGGGUAAGCCUGCCGGCGGCCCACCAAACUCUGUUUGAUAUUGAAUUCUGAACCUAUAACUAAAUAAGUUAAAACUUUCAACAACGGAUCUCUUGGUUCUGGCAUCGAUGAAGAACGCAGCGAAAUGCGAUAAGUAAUGUGAAUUGCAGAAUUCAGUGAAUCAUCGAAUCUUUGAACGCAUAUUGCGCCCAUUAGUAUUCUAGUGGGCAGGACCGUUCGAGCGUCAUUUCAACCCUUAAGCCUUCGUUGCUUAGUGUUGGGAGCCUACGGCAACGUAGCUCCUCAAAGUUAGUGGCGGAGUUGGUUCACACUCUAGACGUAGUAAUUUUUUAUCUCGCCUAUUAGUUGGACUAAUCCCCUGCCGUAAAACCCCCAAUUUAUCAAGGUUGACCUCGAAUCGGUUCAGACAAACUCGCUAAAUUGAAGCAUCUUAGUCAGCGAAGGAAAAGAAACCAACAGGGAUUGCCCUAGUAACGGCGAGUGAAGCGGCAACAGCUCAAAUUUGAAAUCUGGCCCUCGGGUC